GCAAGUCGAGCGGUAACAGGAAGAAAGCUUGCUUUCUUUGCUGACGAGCGGCGGACGGGUGAGUAACGCGUAGGAAUCUGCCUAGUAGAGGGGGACAACAUGUGGAAACGCAUGCUAAUACCGCAUACGCCCUAAGGGGGAAAGGAGGGGACUCUUCGGAGCCUUCCGCUAUUAGAUGAGCCUGCGUAAGAUUAGCUAGUUGGUAGGGUAAAGGCCUACCAAGGCGACGAUCUUUAACUGGUCUGAGAGGAUGGCC
rnacentral:rRNA from 1 species